CAGGAAACUGCACGCCGAUAAGUUUUUGUAUGGGGCUUAGUUUCAGGAAGGAGAAACCUGCUGGAUACUGUGAUGAAGGAAAUCAACUGAUGUUUUCAUUUUCCAGUUUUUAUGUACAGGACCGCUAUGGGAGAACUAUCUAAGAGAGUCUUAACUACCACAUCUAAGCCAAAGCUUUUUCUCUUGUGACAGGUGGGUUGACUUAUCCUUCUGCAGUUGGAGGUGCUGGUGCUGGAGCUGUACCACCCAGACCAGGCUAUGGCAAUCUUGGAGGUGGCGGUGUCUAUCAGCAAGGUGUGGCUCCUGGUUAUGGAGGAGGUUACCCCCAACAGUACUACCAAGGUGGAUAUGUUCCAGCCCCACUGACUCCUCAACAAGCCAAAGCAGCAAAGUACGGUCCAUUGCAGGCCUUCCUUGGUGGUGCAGGAGGAGGAGGAGGAGGAGUCUACAGAGGUGGAGUUGCAGGAUGCCAGGGCAAAUACUGUGGCCGGAGGAAGUAGAGGGUCUCUUGAGACCCAGUGUGACCUCAACACACCAUGGUGCUACUGCAUGAUCUAGAAUGUACAUUUUAUAUGCAAACAAACCCCAUUAGAAAACAUAUACAAAUGUUUUCUUUUGUUUUUCACAUACUUGACUUCAACGUCUGUUUUUUAUACAAACCCACCGACCGAGAAUUUUAUACACACUCUGAUGUGACGUAUGUUAUUGACAGUGGCUUUAAUCAAUAAUGUGGUCAAGUUAAUCAGCUUUAACUCCCCGUACUUCACCAACCUACUUAGAAUAUAAAGAGUGUGCGUGUACGUGUAACCAUGUGUUGUUCAUGUGCAUGAAUGUGUAUGUGUUUCCUGUAUGAUUGUACUGUUGUGCGAAGGACUGACUGGAUCAUCGACUGUCAAUGUGACCUAUGAAUGAUUUCUCUUUUUGGUUUUAAUCAUAAAGCAAGGUGAUCUGUCCUCAGUGUCACAGCCCACACUGUCGCACCUCGCUGUGCAGAGCUUGUCAUCUCUCUGACAUGACAGAGGCGUUGGGUUGGUCGAGGCUCGUCCAAAACCUGAUGAAAUCAGUGUCGUCUCUGACUCCCCGUCUUCUCUGCUGCUAUUUUUAGGCCUGCUGGGUAUAAAGCAGCAGGAAUUGGGGUUCUGGCCAAUCCAUCUGCUCUCAGUAUAUUUGCUGAUUCUAGUUGCUAUGCAGUUCAGUUUUCUCUGCAUUUUUAAUGUUGCUAAACUUGAGAUGUAUGAAGAGCAGUUUCUGCUCUGAGGAACGACAUGCUGAAGACGUUACAGGAUGUUUAAAAACCACGGGGAAGCCUUACGAGUAGAUUAAAAUGUAACACAGAUACUACUCUGGCAUUUACAUUAUGUGUGUGAAUGUGAAUGUUUCAUUAUGUGUUCUGGAUAGAGCGCUUUAGUCUGCUUCCAAUGUUUAGUCUCAUUGCAGCAGUUAUUUACAUUUAUGUAACUUGUCAUUACAUGAUUAUUCAAGAUUUUUUUUCAGCAUUCUUUGACUCAUAGCUUUAUUGUUAUUAGGAAUGUGUGAACAUAAAACCAGAACAAUCAUUUUCUUUUGCAUUUAUUCAGUGUUUAGAAUUGUAAUACAGAAAAAAAGACUUUGUUUAAUGGGAGAGACAAAGUGUUAAUGUAAGGCAUGAGCUCCCAUUGUUCUUCAUUUACUUGAGCUGCUUUUAAAAAGGCUUACUGACCAAAGGUCCAUGAGCGCUGUUGCCAAGUGCCCCCAUCUCUUUUUGUAAGUGUGUACUGUAUUUUGUACUAAUUUGAUGAACGCUGGCUCUAGUUCCUUCACUCGGUGCUGUGUAAGAAAUGUCUAUUGGCCUCGCUGGGUCAGACCUUGUCUUAUGUGCUAAGGGAUACUCUUCAUCUUUAUUUAAAACUGUUUUUAUAAGCGGGAACAGUGUGGUUUUGCACUUUUUAUAUUGCCACGACACACAUGUGACUUGUUCCUGGAAU